rnacentral:rRNA from 1 species
CCUACGGGAGGCAGCAGUGAGGAAUAUUGGUCAAUGGGCGUAAGCCUGAACCAGCCAAGUCGCGUGAGGGAUGAAGGUUCUAUGGAUCGUAAACCUCUUUUAUAAGGGAGUAAAGUGUGGGACGUGUCCUAUUUUGUAUGUACCUUAUGAAUAAGGAUCGGCUAACUCCGUGCCAGCAGCCGCGGUAAUACGGAGGAUCCGAGCGUUAUCCGGAUUUAUUGGGUUUAAAGGGUGCGUAGGCGGCUCGUUAAGUUAGAGGUGAAAGUCCGUGGCUCAACCCUAGAAUUGCCGUUGAAACUGGCGGGCUAGAGUAUGUUUGAGGCAGGCGGAAUGCGUGGUGUAGCGGUGAAAUGCAUAGAUAUCACGCAGAACCCCGAUUGCGAAGGCAGCCUGCCAAGCCACGACUGACGCUGAGGCACGAAAGCGUGGGGAGCAAACAGGAUUAGAUACCCCUGUAGUC